GUAUUUCGAAUUAUGUAUUCAAAAAUCUUCAGACAAAAAAUUUCAAUAAAGGGUUGGUAUUAUGCUGCCAAGAACGCGUAAAAAACGCGAACUCGUCAGCAAACAUUGCACACAAGGUGAGUACUUGUUUAAAAAGUGCAGUAAAACACUUAUUAUGAAUGAUCCUUCCGCAGGUUCACCUACGGAAA
rnacentral:misc_RNA from 1 species